rnacentral:rRNA from 1 species
CUCAGAUUGAACGCUGGCGGCAGGCCUAACACAUGCAAGUCGAGCGGUAGAGAGAAGCUUGCUUCUCUUGAGAGCGGCGGACGGGUGAGUAAUGCCUAGGAAUCUGCCUGGUAGUGGGGGAUAACGUUCGGAAACGGACGCUAAUACCGCAUACGUCCUACGGGAGAAAGCAGGGGACCUUCGGGCCUUGCGCUAUCAGAUGAGCCUAGGUCGGAUUAGCUAGUUGGUGAGGUAAUGGCUCACCAAGGCGACGAUCCGUAACUGGUCUGAGAGGAUGAUCAGUCACACUGGAACUGAGACACGGUCCAGACUCCUACGGGAGGCAGCAGUGGGGAAUAUUGGACAAUGGGCGAAAGCCUGAUCCAGCCAUGCCGCGUGUGUGAAGAAGGUCUUCGGAUUGUAAAGCACUUUAAGUUGGGAGGAAGGGUUGUAGAUUAAUACUCUGCAAUUUUGACGUUACCGACAGAAUAAGCACCGGCUAACUCUGUGCCAGCAGCCGCGGUAAUACAGAGGGUGCAAGCGUUAAUCGGAAUUACUGGGCGUAAAGCGCGCGUAGGUGGUUUGUUAAGUUGGAUGUGAAAUCCCCGGGCUCAACCUGGGAACUGCAUUCAAAACUGACUGACUAGAGUGUGGUAGAGGGUGGUGGAAUUUCCUGUGUAGCGGUGAA